GAAGCUACAGUAGUACAAUUCACUCAAGAAAAGGACCACAUUUCUAUGAAAAUACUGGCUACUUCCUUGAAUACCCUCGAGAGUGGUCACCAUCGCGGCCACAACCUGUUCUUCCUCACUUUCUUGGCACCAUCCACGCAAAAACCCUUGUCUUGUCUCUCUUCCUCUUUUAUCUCUCAGAUCACCUAGAAAGAGCCGUUCACCUUAUAUUAGUCUCCAGCAUUGAAUCAUUCAAUUCCCUUCUAUGUUACCUAAACUGAACCCAAACAGUUGUUAGCUAAUGAACUGACACCACGUGAGCUAGCCAUAUUGAUACAAGUUGUAAACAACCACCCAAUUAAUUAACCCAAAUCUGCAGGUGAGAAGUUGCAGCUGAGAGCUAGCUAACACUUUUUGUUUCUAUGGCUAAUAAUAAUGCAGGUGAGCAACCAUCAGCUUCACUGCCCCCUAAUGAGAAUCCUCAGAAAGAUGAGCUUCUCUUCUCCGAUGAUCGGAACUUUGCCGUCCAUGGAGGUCCAAUGAUUCUCCAAACAUCAGCCAAUCGGAACUUGUUUCGCCGAUGAAUCCUUCGGCGACUAUGUUUAAGGUUCAGUUUAAAGAUGGGACAAAUCUGAUGCCAUAGGGGAACUUCACAGUGUCCCUGAAUAGCCCUAAAAUCAUAUUGGCCAAUCUUCUGGAUCUCGGGCUGAUUCCAGAUUUCUGGAAUUGCCAAUCAUUACUUGCCACGUCUAUUGGUGAGCGAAGGAGAUAAUCCAAGCAUUUUAUUUUUAAAAGAUUUACGUUAAGCUUUUCGAUUAUAUGGUGAUGUAAUGGUAAAUUUAUUUCUUUUGUUUUCCGCACAAUUUUUGGGUUCCUUUAUAUACCUAAAGCUAUCAGAAGCUUGUAUUACAGAUUUUAUUUAACUAGGUGUUAUAAUUUUUUUUUUUUUUCAAGCA